GGCGGAUCCAACAGUAGUGGGUUAUCAGAACUUAGUAACAUUUGUGUCAUGAAAGUUGGUAUACAACCCCCCACUGCUAAAUUGGACUGGCUUUUU
rnacentral:Y_RNA from 1 species